AGUACAUCACGUGUUUACCGCAAACCAGUCUGUUUACAAGAUGGACGGAGGCAAGGAAAAAUAGUUGUCCGUCUCACUGAAGUAUUAUUUACCAAAGAGACAGUUGAAGAUCUUGAGAGGAACUUCAUAGCAGCUAUAUAUAGAUUAUGUCAAUAAUUACCUGAAUAAAUAUCUUUUAGAUGGAGAUAGAUCA